rnacentral:rRNA from 1 species
GAUGAACGCUAGCGGCAGGCUUAAUACAUGCAAGUCGUGGGGCAGCAUGAGUAGCAAUACUUGAUGGCGACCGGCAAACGGGUGAGGAACACGUACACAACCUUCCUUCAAGCGGGGAAUAGCCCAGAGAAAUUUGGAUUAAUACCCCAUAAUAUAUUUGAUAAGGCAUCUUAUUAAUAUUAAAGCUUCGGCACUUGAUGAUGGGUGUGCGGCUGAUUAGAUAGUUGGCGGGUAACGGCCCACCAAGUCUACGAUCAGUAGCUGAUGUGAGAGCAUGAUCAGCCACACGGGCACUGAGACACGGGCCCGACUCCUACGGGAGGCAGCAGUAAGGAAUAUUGGACAAUGGACGAAAGUCUGAUCCAGCCAUGCCGCGUGAAGGAUU